UACGUAGGGGGCAAGCGUUGUCCGGAUUCAUUGGGCGUAAAGAGCGUGUAGGCGGCCAGGUAGGUCGGUUGUGAAAACUGGAGGCUCAACCUUCAGAGGUCGACCGAAACCAUCUGGCUAGAGCCCGGGAGAGGAGAGUGGAAUUCCUGGUGUAGCGGUGAAAUGCGCAGAUACCAGGAAGAACACCCGUGGCGAAAGCGGCUCUCUGGAACGGUACUGACGCUGAGACGCGAAAGCGUGGGGAGCGAACAGG
rnacentral:rRNA from 1 species